rnacentral:snRNA from 1 species
GUGCUUGCUUUGGCAGCACAUAUACUUGAAACAGAGAAGAUUAGCAUGGCCCCUGUGUAAGGAUGACACACAAAUUUGAGAAAUGUUCCAUAUUUAA